rnacentral:rRNA from 1 species
GAUGUUGUUUAAUGGCCGCGGUAUUUUGACCGUGCAAAGGUAGCAUAAUCAUUAGCCUAUUAAUUGUAGGCUUGUAUGAAUGGUUUGACGAAGUAUUGACUGUCUCUUUUGUAAUAUUGUAACUUAAAUCCUUAGUUAAAAUGCUGAGAUGUUAUUGUGGGACGAGAAGACCCUAUAGAUCUUUAUAUUUUAUUUUUUUAUUAUUUUUGGUUUAUUUUUGUUAAUUUAAUAAAAUAUUUUGUUGGGGUGACAUUGAGAUAUAUUUAACUCUUUAUUUUUAUUUACAUUGAUUUUUGAUUAGUUGACCUUUUAUUAGUGUUAUAAGAUACAGAUACCUUAGGGAUAACAGCGUAAUUUUUCUUGAGAGUUCAUAUUGACAGAAUAAGUUUGCGACCUCGAUGUUGGAUUAAGAUUAUAAUUAGGUGUAGGUGCUUAAUUGUUAGGUCUGUUCGACCUUUAAAUUCUUACAUGAUCUGAGUUCAAACCGGAGA